GUGACAACAUCCGGUGCAUCCAGGGCACAAGUCUUUCCCGACAAGCAAUGUCUGGACGUUACCGGUACCGUCACCGAAGGCGCUUCACAACAUCCGGGGAGACAGUGGUCCUGGCGGAAGGCGUCUUAGCCUCGUGGCUGGAUUUCAGAAGCCUCUGAGAUGACAAAUGUCUGGACGCCAUAAGGAAGCAGAGGUCAAGCGCGCGUCACCGUCACUGACAUGACAAUAUCGUGCUUCGUGACAACACCACGUGCAUCACCAAGAAGGACUGGUUGAACAGUUUUGCUGUGGGUCAGAUGAUGCGUGCAUACGUUCCGGUCCAGCCCUGCCUUUGAAACUGUAUUGGAGGGAGGAAGCAGACCAUGAGACUGUUGAUAGGUUGCGAAGGAAAUAUCUCACAGCAUCUUCCAGGACCGCAUUGAUGCCAUAAAUUCCUAAUCAACUGCAGCUGCAAUGUUCCUGGUGGGACUUAUCCUGGUGAGAGGUUGUCCGACGCCAUCUCAACAUGUAUAGUGACGUCCAGAAAGAUCGGUGCUCGUCUGUGCGCCCUGCGAUCUGAGUGAUGUAGCCAGUAGGGCGUUAGGGCAUUUUGUAAAUGGAGGCUCCUUUUGCCCUCAUAGCUUCAGUCCGUUUCUGUGGUGUACAAGCUUGGUGUGUGGCUGAUUUUGGUUUUGUGACUGUGUCGAUGGCCGGACUUGUAUUCGGUCAGUUACUGUUAAUUCUGUUCUUUAUAAACCGGGUUUUCCCUGGUUCA